CGAGUUCCCGUACGAUCUCCGAAGUUAAGCAACGUUGAGCCUGGUCAGUACCUAAAUGGGUAACCGACUAGGAAUAACAGGUGCUGUAAG
rnacentral:rRNA from 1 species